rnacentral:rRNA from 1 species
GGGGAAUAUUGCACAAUGGGCGCAAGCCUGAUGCAGCCAUGCCGCGUGUAUGAAGAAGGCCUUCGGGUUGUAAAGUACUUUCAGCGAGGAGGAAGGCGUUGUGGUUAAUAACCGCAGCGAUUGACGUUACUCGCAGAAGAAGCACCGGCUAACUCCGUGCCAGCAGCCGCGGUAAUACGGAGGGUGCAAGCGUUAAUCGGAAUUACUGGGCGUAAAGCGCACGCAGGCGGUCUGUCAAGUCGGAUGUGAAAUCCCCGGGCUCAACCUGGGAACUGCAUCCGAAACUGGCAGGCUAGAGUCUUGUAGAGGGGGGUAGAAUUCCAGGUGUAGCGGUGAAAUGCGUAGAGAUCUGGAGGAAUACCGGUGGCGAAGGCGGCCCCCUGGACAAAGACUGACGCUCAGGUGCGAAAGCGUGGGGAGCAAAC